rnacentral:rRNA from 1 species
CCUACGGGCGGCUGCAGUGGGGAAUAUUGGACAAUGGGCGAAAGCCUGAUCCAGCCAUGCCGCGUGUGUGAAGAAGGCCUUCGGGUUGUAAAGCACUUUCAGUGGGGAAGAAAGCCUUGGGGCUAAUACCCUCGAGGAAGGACAUCACCCACAGAAGAAGCACCGGCUAACUCCGUGCCAGCAGCCGCGGUAAUACGGAGGGUGCGGGCGUUAAUCGGAAUUACUGGGCGUAAAGCGCGCGUAGGCGGUCUGAUAAGCCGGUUGUGAAAGCCCCGGGCUCAACCUGGGAACGGCAUCCGGAACUGUCAGGCUAGAGUGCAGGAGAGGAAGGUAGAAUUCCCGGUGUAGCGGUGAAAUGCGUAGAGAUCGGGAGGAAUACCAGUGGCGAAGGCGGCCUUCUGGACUGACACUGACGCUGAGGUGCGAAAGCGUGGGUAGCAAACAGGAUUAGAUACCCCUGUAGUC